rnacentral:lncRNA from 1 species
CACAUAGCUCAGUAUGAAAGAAGUAUGAACAAACAAUUCUCAGAAGCUAUAUGGUGUUUCCUGCCUGUGUGUGUGUGUGUGUGUGUGUGUCUGUUUUUUUGUGAUGGCUUCUCUAUAUAAGUGUAAUUUCUCAGAAGCACUGAGGAGAGGCUGUGACUGCCUUGUAGACAGAUACAGCAUCUUAAAGACGCCAGAAGUUCAUGCAAAGAAGUGGUCAACCCUCCUCCUGGAGAACUACUGUUUUGUAUCCUUUUACACCAGAGGUGUACAACCCUCCUCUUGGAGAACUACUGUUUUGUAUCCUUUUACACCAGAGCUGGGCAGUCCUCUUAGAGAACUACUGGUUUGUAUCCUUUUACACCAGAGCUGGACAACCCUCCUCUUGGAGAACUACUGUUUUUUAGCCUUUUAUACCAGAGGUGGAGAACCCUCCUCCUGGAGAACUACUGUUUUGAAGCCUUUUAUACCAGAGGCGGAGAACCCUCCUCCUGGAGAACUACUGUUUUGAAGCCUUUUACAUCAGAGGUGGAGAACCCUCCUCUUGGAGAGCUACUGUGUAUGCAGGCUUUUGUUCCAGCCCUGCUCCAACACACACUCUACAUUUACAUUUUAACCUAGAACCGAGCUCUGGGAGACAGCAGUAGUGAGAGUACGUGGUGCUGACACAGAUCCUCUCCAUUCCACCUGGUUGGAGCAGUGCAAGAUUGUGCAGAGACUUAGACACCCAGCCCUGAGAGGGUGGAGAGGAGGAUCUGAUGGUCCACAGUGUCAAAUGCAAUAGAUAGAUCUAGGAGGAUGAGAACAGAGGAGUGAAAGAGUCAGCUUUGGCAGAGCGGAGAGCCUCCGUGACACAGAGAAGAGCAGUCUCGGUUGAGUGAACCAUCUUACUUCCAUUUUGAAGUCAGAAGGGGCGCAGCCAGUGGUCAGGGAUGAGUUGAUGAGGGAAGUGAGGAAUGGGAGAAGGUCUCCUGAUAUGGGCUGGAGCGGGUAGGAGGGGAUGGGGUCAGGUGGGCAGGUUGUCGGGUGGCCAGACCACACCAGUCGCAUGAUUUCAUCUGGAGAGUAAGGGGAGAAAGAGGUCAAGGCAUAGGGUAGAUCUGUGUGAGUAGGGCGAGUGGACUCAAUGGGCUGAGUGUAUGAGGAGAGGAUGUAGUUAACCUUUUCAAAGUGGUUGACAAAGUCCUCCUCAGAGAGGAAGGAGGGAGGAGGGGGUGGAGGAAGAAGAUGGAAAAUAGAUUCCUAUGGUGAGAGGCAGAAACUUAACAUUUAGAGUGAAAAAAGUGGCUUUAGCAUCAGAUACAGAGGAAGAGAAGGUAGAGCGGAGGGUGUGAAAGGAUGAUAGGUCCUCCAGAAGUGACGUUUUCCUUCAUUUUUGCUCAGCUGCCCGCAGCCCUGCUCUGUAAGCUCUCAAGGAGUCACUCAGCCACGGAGCAGGAGGGGAGGAAAAUGGACAGUGUACAUCAUAGGAUGCGGAAUGGGAGGAGUGUAGGGUUUAAGAGGCAGAAUCAGGAAACAUGCGGUAGAAGUAUUUUGCAGAAGGGAGAUAUGAUAGGAUAGAAGAGGAGAGGAGAGAGAGAGUGAAGAUUGUGAGCAGUGUAUGACCAUUUGGUUGGGGUUAAGGAUGGAGGAAAGGGAGACAGAAAAGGAAAGAAAGUGGUGAUCAGAGACCUGGAGGGGGUUGCAGUGAGAUUAGUAGGCAAACAGCCUCUAGUAAAGAUGAGGUCAAGCGUAUUGCCUGUCUUGAGAGUGGGACUGGGGAAGGGUGAGGUCAAGUGUAUUGUCUGCCUUGUGAGUGGUCAAAAGAGGGGAAAGAAAGAGUUCAUAGAAAUGAAUGGAAGGCAGACAUCGGGAGGUUGAAGUCACCAAGUACGAAGAGCGUUGGUUUGAAUGAAGAUGGCAAAGAAUGCAGUGUGGACAGUCUUCCUGUUGACCUUUGGUGUUACCACAGGGAUGAAAAAGUUAUAUUCAUUCAAGCGAUACCUCUCCGUCCAUUCUAGCAGCAGGCUACACCGAGAAUGGAACAGCUGGAUAGGGGAAACAGCUCGAGCCGCACCAAAUGGAAUAUAACAUUGCGGAAUGACACAGUUUCAUGUGUACGACAUCUAAAGACCUGCAUCACUAUACUGAGAGCGUUUCAGUUUCUAAAAUGAUGUAUUUGGGUGUUUUUGGAGCGUUGAUCAUGUUUUUUUUUGCUACCUUAUUGCACAACGAGGAUGUGAAUCACUGGUUGGGCAUAUCCAGGCUAUCUGUGCUUACAGUUCAAGUCAGCCCGAAAUAUACAAAGAUUUUAACAAAGCAGUCCGGACCAAUAGGAAAGUCUACACGUCCUCCGUCAAGUUCCACUCCCUGCAUUUCCUGCUGACUGAAGCUAUUCUCCUCCUGAAACAAAAUCCAGACCAACAGGAUUGUUACACCACACACAGAAGAACCAACAAGGAGUUUGCAGGUGAAGUGAACAAGGAAAUCCGUUUUGGCUUAUUUUCCUCCAGCUCUUUGAGAUAAAGACACGUUUUGGCUCAAGUCCUACCCAGUGAUGGAAGAAAAGGAGAAGGUGUGGAUUCCGCCCUGUGAGGUUUUUAAAGUUACUGACGUACUGUGUACAAACGACAAAGCACCAAAACACAGAAUGACCUGGAUUGAAAAAUGGUCGUUCCAGAGGGUGAAAUCAACCCAGCACGUCUGCUUUUCUACAGUCAGUAAAACAUAAUAUGCAGUCUACAGUACACCCCUCCCCAAGCUCCCUCUGCCACAGGGUCGCAACUUUGGUUUUAGACUUGGGGGGACAUAUAUAUACAUAUAUUGUUAUGGGGGUAGAUCAGCUUUAAUGUUGCAGAUAGAUUGUGGCUUCCACCAAUGUAAUUGUCUGCCUCAUUUCCAAC